rnacentral:rRNA from 1 species
CCUACGGGGGGCUGCAGUCGAGAAUAGUCUACAAUGGUCGAAAGACUGAUAGUGCGACGCCGCGUGAACGAAGAAGCCCUUCGGGGUGUAAAGUUCUUUUAUAUGUGAGCAGUGGGUUCCAUAUGAAUAGUAUGGGAUCAGAGAUAUUAGCAUAUGAAUAAGCAACGGCUAACUCCGUGCCAGCAGCCGCGGUAACACGGGGGUUGCGAGCGUUGUCCGGAAUUACUAGGCGUAAAGGGCAGGCAGGCGGAUCUAUAAGUUUUUCGUUUAAGGCGUCAGCUUAACUGGCGUACGGCGGGAGAUACUGUAGAUCUGGAAUGCGGUUGGGGAAGACAGAAUUCCUGGUGUAGCGGUGGAAUGCGCAGAGAUCAGGAGGAAUACCGAAGGCGAAGGCAGUCUUCCAAGCCGUCAUUGACGCUCAACUGCGAAGGUGUGGGUAUCAAACAGGAUUAGAUACCCCAGUAGUC